rnacentral:rRNA from 1 species
CCCUUAGAUGUUCUGGGCCGCACGCGUGCUACACCGAGUGGAUCAGCGGGUCAGGUUGCGCGAAAGUGUUUCCUAAUCUUGAAAUCCGCUCGUGAUGGGGAUUGACGGUUGCAAUUUUCCGUCAUGAACGAGGAAUACCUUGUAAGCGCGGGUCAUCAUCCCGCGCUGAAUACGUCCCUGCCCUUUGUACACACCGCCCGUCGCUCCUACCGAUUGAGUGGUCCGGUGAGGCUUUGGGAUCUGAGCGGAAAGAGCGUUUCGCUGUUUCUGCUCGGAAAACUCAGUCGAACCUUAUCAUUUAGAGGAAGGAGAAGUCGUAACA